AGGACAAACCAGAAGGAGUGCUGA
rnacentral:siRNA from 1 species